CUGAGUUAGAGACUGGCUCCAGUUCAACUUCCACCAAGAAGCCAUUCCUGACCCUUUGCGUAAAUUCACAGAGAAACAUGAAUGGAUAACUACAGAAAAUGGUAUUGGAACAGUGGGAAUCAGCAAUUUUGCACAGGAAGCUCUGGGAGAUGUUGUUUAUUGUAGUCUGCCUGAAGUUGGAACAAAAUUGAAAAAACAAGAUGGAAAGUGUGAAAGCUGCCAGUGAACUCUAUUCUCCUCUAUCAGGAGAAGUAACUGAAAUUAAUGAGGCACUUGCAGAAAACCCAGGGCUUGUGAACAAUCUUGUUAUGAAGAUGGUUGGCUGAUAAAGAUGACACUGAGUGACCCUUCAGAACUAGAUGACCUAAUGAGUGAAGAAGCAUAUGAGAAAUAUGUAAAAUCUAUUGAGGAGUGAAAAUGGCACCCUAAAUAAACUAGUGUGGAAUAACUGAAGCAGUUGUCUUAAAGUAGUGGUGGAUAGAAGACUUAAAAAACUACUCUUAACAAUGCUACUGGAAGAAGAUACCCCUUAACUUCCCAAUGACUGCUGAUAAACACAAUAUGCAUCUUUUUUACAAUUCCUUAUGAUUUUUAGAGUAGGCACUAGGCUGAUAUCAGAAUUCAUGAAAUUAUCUGUGGUAAAAAUACUUAUAAAAAAGUAUGUAAUUCAAGGAUAAUCUUGUUAUAAGCCUAAUAUAAUAUUGUAACGUGCUUACAUCCCAUCUCUGGAUCUGGGUCAAUAUACUUAAUGAUCUUCCAUUUGAAAAAAACUGGACAUAGAGGACAGUGUGUGUUGUACAGUGUCAGAAGAACAAUACUGCCUUAAUUUUAUAAUGUACUGCAUUCACUGGUGUUAUUUUUAUACACUGAAACAGCAGCUUGCAACAAAAUAAGAAAUAAAAUAUUCAACUUCAUUUAAAAAAAAAAAAAGCAAGAACGGCCUGCAGAA
rnacentral:lncRNA from 1 species